GACGAACGCUGGCGGCGUGCUUAACACAUGCAAGUCGAACGGUGAAGCGCCUUCCUUUUUGGUGGGUGUGGAUGAGUGGCGAACGGGUGAGUAACACGUGAGUAACCUGCCCCCUUCUUCUGGAUAACCGCAUGAAAGUGUUGCUAAUACAGGAUAUUCUGGGACAGUCGCAUGAUGGGUGUGGGAAAGAUUUUGUUUCGGCGGGGGAUGGGCUGGCGGCUUGUCAGCUUGUUGGUGGGGUGAUGGCCUACCAAGGGGGUGACGGGUAGCCGGCGUGGGAGGGUGGACGGUCACACAGGGACUGAGACACGGCCCAGACUCCUACGGGAGGCAGCGGUGGGGAAUAGUGCACAAUGGGCGCAAGCCUGAUGCAGCGACGCCGCGUGAGGGAUGGUGGCCUUCGGGUUGUGAACCUCUUUCGCCAGUGAAGCAGGCCUGCCUCGUUUGUGGGUGGGUUGACGGUAGCUGGAGAAGAAGCGCCGGCUAACUACGUG
rnacentral:rRNA from 1 species